UCGAGGAUCUUCGGCAAUGGGCGCAAGCCUGACCGAGCGACGCCGCGUGCGCGAUGAAGGCCUUCGGGUUGUAAAGCGCUGUCGAGGGGGAGGAAAAUCCGCAAGGAUCUGACCUAUCCCUGGAGGAAGGACGGGCUAAGUUCGUGCCAGCAGCCGCGGUAAGACGAACCGUCCAAACGUUGUUCGGAAUCACUGGGCUUAAAGGGCGCGUAGGCGGGCUUCCAAGUCAGGGGUGAAAUCUUUCGGCUCAACCGGAAAAGAGUCCCUGAUACUGGAAGCCUCGAGGGAGGUAGGGGUCGAUGGAACUGGUGGUGGAGCGGUGAAAUGCGUAGAUAUCACUAGGAACGCCGGUGGCGAAAGCGAUCGACUGGACCUCUUCUGACGCUGAGGCGCGAAAGCCAGGGGAGCAAACGG
rnacentral:rRNA from 1 species